UUAAGGACGGGCCCGGGCGAAUUCGCCCUUUACGCGCUGCACUUCAGCGUAUUUAUAAGCGCAGGACAAGAAACUAUACACGGAUUCCCCUACUAACUGCGAGUGAAGCUGGGUAAAGCUCAAAUUUAAUAUCUCGUGCCGCGUCCUUGUGGCUGUCCGAGUGCUAAUGUAGAGAAGUGCCAUCCGUGAUGGACCGUGUACAAGUCUCCUGGAAUGGAGCGUCAUAGAGGGUGAGAAUCCCGUCUGUGACACGAGACUACCAGGGCUUACGUGAUGUGCUCUCGGAGAGUCGAGUUGUUUGGGAAUGCAGCUCAAAAUGGGUGGUAAAUUCCAUCUAAAGCUAUAUAUCGGCGAGAGACCGAUAGCGAGACCAGUACCGUGAGGGAAAGAUCGAAUAGAACUUCGGAAAGAGAGUUAAGCAGUACGUGAAAUUGCAGAAAGGGAAGCGCUUGAAGUCAGCCGCGUUGUCCGGGGAUCAACCUUGCAAAUUUCGCUACGGUGCACUUUCCGGUUGAUGGGUCAACAUCAAUUUCUACCGUUGGAUAAAGGCAUACGGAAUGUGGCAUCUUCAGAUGUGCUAUAGCCCCUGCUCGCAUACAACCGGAGGGAUUGACGAACUCAGCACGCCCCACGGCCGGGUUUUAUUACCACGUUCGUGCUUAGGAUGUUGGCAUAAUGGCUUUAAUCGACCCGUCUUGAAACACGG
rnacentral:rRNA from 1 species